rnacentral:tRNA from 1 species
GCUGCUAUAGCUCAGUUGGUAGAGCGCGUCAUUGGUAAUGACGAGGUCACAAGUUCGAUUCUUGUUAGCAGCACCA